GUCUACUGCCAUACCACGUUGAAAGCACCAGUUCUCGUCCGAUCACUGAAGUUAAGCA
rnacentral:rRNA from 1 species